rnacentral:rRNA from 1 species
UACCAGCACCCCGAGUGGUCGGGACGAUUAUUGGGCCUAAAGCAUCCGUAGCCGGUCCUGCAAGUCUUCCGUUAAAUCCAGCUGCUCAACAGAUGGGCUGCGGGAGAUGCUACAGGGCUAGGAGGCGGGAGAGGCAAGCGGUACUCAUUGGGUAGGGGUAAAAUCCACUGAUCCAUUGAAAGACCACCAGUGGCGAAGGCGGCUUGCCAGAACGCGCUCGACGGUGAGGGAUGAAGCUGGGGAGCAAACCGG